rnacentral:rRNA from 1 species
UACGUAGGGUGCGAGCGUUAAUCGGAAUUACUGGGCGUAAAGGGUGCGCAGGCGGUUCUGCAAGUCAGGCGUGAAAGCCCCGGGCUCAACCUGGGAACUGCAUUUGAAACUGGCGGGCUUGAGUAUGGCAGAGGGGGGUGGAAUUCCGCGUGUAGCAGUGAAAUGCGUAGAGAUGCGGAGGAACACCGAUGGCGAAGGCAGCCCCCUGGGCCAAUACUGACGCUCAGGCACGAAAGCGUGGGGAGCAAACAGG